UACGGAGGGUGCAAGCGUUAUCCGGAUUUACUGGGUUUAAAGGGUGCGCAGGCGGGACAUUAAGUCAGGGGUGAAAGACGGUUGCUCAACAAUCGCAGUGCCUUUGAUACUGGUGUUCUUGGGUGACGGUGAGGUAGGCGGAAUGGGUGGUGUAGCGGUGAAAUGCAUAGAUACCACCCAGAACUCCGAUUGCGAAGGCAGCCUACUGGUCGUUAACCGACGCUCAGGCACGAAAGCGUGGGGAUCAAACAGG
rnacentral:rRNA from 1 species